rnacentral:rRNA from 1 species
CCUACGGGUGGCAGCAGUGGGGAAUAUUGCGCAAUGGGCGAAAGCCUGACGCAGCGACGCCGCGUGAGGGAUGAAGGUCUUCGGAUCGUAAACCUCUGUCAGCAGGGAAGAACGGUCACUGUGCUAAUCAGCAGUGAAUUGACGGUACCGGCAAAGGAAGCACCGGCUAACUCCGGGCCAGCAGCCGCGGUAAUCAGGGGGGUGCGAGCGUUAACCGGAAUGACUGGGCGUAAAGCGCUCGUAGGCGGUAUGACAAGUCAAGGGUGAAAUCCCCGAGCUCAACGUGGGAACUGCCUUUGAAACUGGCAGACUGGAGUGUGUGAGAGGGUAGUGGAAUUCCAGGUGGAGGAGUGAAAUCCGUAGAUAUCUGGAGGAACAUCAGUGGCGAAGGCGACUAUCUGGCACAUAACUGACGCUGAGGAGCGAAAGCGUGGGUAGCAAACAGGAUUAGAUACCCUAGUAGUC